ACUUUAGUUUGAAACCCCGAAACUAGACGAGCUACUCCGGGGCAGCCUAAUCAGGGCCAACCCGUCUCUGUGGCAAAAGAGUGGGAAGACCCCCGAGUAGAGGUGACAAGCCUACCGAGCCUAGUUAUAGCUGGUUGCUUAAGAAAUGAAUGUUAGUUCAGCCUUAUGUAAUUCUAUAACCGAAACAAUUAUUAACCAAAAGAACAAAAGCAAUACGUAAGAGUUAGUCAAAGGGGGUACAGCCCCUUUGAAACAGAACACAACCUUAUUCAGGAGGACAAGGAUCAUAUCAUAAAAGGACAAAAUUACCUCAGUGGGCCCAAAAGCAGCCACCUGUAAAGAAAGCGUUAAAGCUCCGGUAAAUGCAAACCAAUAAUAAAGACAACACACUCCCUACCCCCUAAAAAUAUUAAGCUAUCCUAUGCACACAUAGGAGAAACAAUGCUAAAAUCAGUAAUAAGAGGACCCAAGUCCUCUCCUAGCACAUGUGUAAGUCAGAACGGACCAACCACUGACAAUCAACGGACCCACAAGAGAGAAAAAGAACAAACUACAAAAAACAAGAAAAAACUAUUUAACACCCCAAACCGUUAACCCAACACAGGAGUGCCUCAAGGAAAGACUAAAAGGAGAAGAAGGAACUCGGCAAACACAAACCCCGCCUGUUUACCAAAAACAUCGCCUCUUGCUAACAAAGGAAGUACUAGAGGUCCCGCCUGCCCUGUGACCACAAAGUUUAACGGCCGCGGUAUCCUGACC
rnacentral:rRNA from 1 species